rnacentral:rRNA from 1 species
CUAGAUGCUGACGAGCGGCGGACGGGUGAGUAAUGCAUAGGAAUCUGCCCGGUAGUGGGGGAUAACCUGGGGAAACCCAGGCUAAUACCGCAUACGUCCUACGGGAGAAAGGGGGCUUCGGCUCUCGCUAUUGGAUGAGCCUAUGUCGGAUUAGCUAGUUGGUGAGGUAAAGGCUCACCAAGGCAACGAUCCGUAGCUGGUCUGAGAGGAUGAUCAGCCACAUCGGGACUGAGACACGGCCCGAACUCCUACGGGAGGCAGCAGUGGGGAAUAUUGGACAAUGGGCGCAAGCCUGAUCCAGCCAUGCCGCGUGUGUGAAGAAGGCCCUCGGGUUGUAAAGCACUUUCAGCGAGGAAGAACGCCUAGUGGUUAAUACCCACUAGGAAAGACAUCACUCGCAGAAGAAGCACCGGCUAACUCCGUGCCAGCAGCCGCGGUAAUACGGAGGGUGCAAGCGUUAAUCGGAAUUACUGGGCGUAAAGCGCGCGUAGGUGGCUUGAUAAGCCGGUUGUGAAAGCCCCGGGCUCAACCUGGGAACGGCAUCCGGAACUGUCAAGCUAGAGUGCAGGAGAGGAAGGUAGAAUUCCCGGUGUAGCGGUGAAAUGCGUAGAGAUCGGGAGGAAUACCAGUGGCGAAGGCGGCCUUCUGGACUGACACUGACACUGAGGUGCGAAAG